AUACGGAGGAUCCGAGCGUUAUCCGGAUUUAUUGGGUUUAAAGGGAGCGUAGGCGGGAUAUCAAAGUCAGCUGUGAAAUGUAGAUGCUCAACAUCUGCACUGCAGUUGAAACUGGUGUUCUUGAGUGCGUAAGAGGUAGGCGGAAUUCGUCGUGUAGCGGUGAAAUGCAUAGAUAUGACGAAGAACUCCGAUUGCGAAGGCAGCUUACUGGGCCGCAACUGACGCUGAAGCUCGAAGGUGCGGGUAUC
rnacentral:rRNA from 1 species